rnacentral:rRNA from 1 species
GUCUUAAUUAUAGCCNNUAUAUAUAUAUAUAUAUAUUUUACUUAAUACUAUAAAACAUUUAUAUAAUGAUA